UCCAGACUCCUACGGGAGGCAGCAGUGAGGAAUAUUGGUCAAUGGCCGAGAGGCUGAACCAGCCAAGUCGCGUGAGGGAAGACGGCCCUACGGGUUGUAAACCUCUUUUGCCGGGGGACAAACGGCGGCACGCGUGCCGUCCUGAGGGUACCCGGAGAAAAAGCAUCGGCUAACUCCGUGCCAGCAGCCGCGGUAAUACGGAGGAUGCGAGCGUUAUCCGGAUUUAUUGGGUUUAAAGGGUGCGCAGGCGGAGGUGCAAGUCAGCGGUCAAAUUGCGGGGCUCAACCCCGUACUGCCGUUGAAACUGCAUCCCUUGAGUGCGCGAGAAGUAUGCGGAAUGCGUGGUGUAGCGGUGAAAUGCAUAGAUAUCACGCAGAACUCCGAUUGCGAAGGCAGCAUACCGGCGCGCAACUGACGCUCAUGCACGAAAGCGUGGGUAUCGAACAGGAUUAGAUACCCCGGUA
rnacentral:rRNA from 1 species